rnacentral:tRNA from 1 species
GCCGGGCUAGCUCAGUGGUAGAGCAGUGGAAUCAUAAUCCACGUGUCAUAGGUCCGACCCCUAUGCCCGGUACCA